GCAGACACAUUCCAGCCAAUCAGUAGCAGACCCUCCCUCCCAGACCCUCCCACCUCCUGGACAGCAUCCAUUGUGAAGCUGCAUUCUUAGUGAGCUGUCCAGGAGGUGGGAGGGUCUGGGAGGGAGGGUCUGCUGCUGAUUGUCUGGAAUGUGUCUG
rnacentral:miRNA from 1 species